GGUGAGAUGGCCGAGUGGUUAUGGCGCUGCGUUCAGGUAGAACUGAACAAAUUUCGCAGUGGAGCAAUCCGCGUGGGUUCGAGUCCCACUCUCAUCA
rnacentral:tRNA from 1 species